UACGUAGGGUGCAAGCGUUGUCCGGAAUUAUUGGGCGUAAAGAGCUCGUAGGCGGUCUGUCACGUCUGCUGUGAAAACUCGGGGCUUAACCCCGGGCCUGCAGUGGGUACGGGCAGACUAGAGUGCGGUAGGGGGAGACUGGAAUUCCUGGUGUAGCGGUGAAAUGCGCAGAUAUCAGGAGGAACACCGGUGGCGAAGGCGGAUCUCUGGGCCUUACCUGACGCUGAGGCGCGAAAGCUAGGGGAGCAA
rnacentral:rRNA from 1 species